UUUUAUUUUAUUUUUUUAUUCUAUAUCAAAUGAUUAGCCAUCAUUAGUAUAUUAGUAGCAUUGUUGUUAACACCCAGUGUUUUCACGUCCGACCCGGACCGUCCGGUCCGACCGGUUGAACCGUGACCCGAACACUUUUCCGGUUUGGGUUUAGUAUUAAAAUCCAACAAGUUCAAAACCGAAAAAACCCACAAAAACUCAUCAUUAACCCGUGACCCGAUGAACCAGUUGAACUGGCCGGAUGUGGGUUUUAAAAAAUUCUCUUGAUUUUGGAAUAAAAUAUGAGAUUUUAGACUUUAUUCAAUCAAUUUUUAGAUAUUUUUCAGUUCUUAAACCCAUUUGAUGUUUAAGAUUUUGAUGAAGACUUCACAAUGCCGCCUUAAAAAAUGAAUCGAAUGGUGAGUGAGAUAUCCGAUAUUAGUUGUGUGAAUUCACGAUGUUUUAUUAGUUUAUUUCCAUCAUUGCUGAUUUUUUACUAUAUUUGUUACGGUAUUAGACAUUUAGUUGGAUUUAAAAAAUUUCAUCACUUUAUUAUUAUUGUUUGAUUAUAUAUUUAUAUU
rnacentral:sRNA from 1 species